UACGUAGGGUGCAGGCGUUAAUCGGAAUUACUGGGCGUAAAGCGUGCGCAGGCGGUUUUGUAAGACAGGCGUGAAAUCCCCGGGCUCAACCUGGGAAUGGCGCUUGUGACUGCAAAGCUGGAGUGCGGCAGAGGGGGAUGGAAUUCCGCGUGUAGCAGUGAAAUGCGUAGAUAUGCGGAGGAACACCAAUGGCGAAGGCAGCCCCCUGGGUCGAUACUGACGCUCAUGCACGAAAGCGUGGGUAGCAAACAGGAUUAGAAACCCCGGUAGU
rnacentral:rRNA from 1 species